CACAGAGCCUGAUCAAUAAGCGGUCACUUGGUAUUCCAUAAGCUGCAGAACAGUCACAUAGCUCUUUUCCGUUAUUGCUGUCUGAUCUGAGAUCCUUUUUGAACAUCAGCUAUGAAGGUUCAAUGGCUUUUCCUUGCUGUUUUUUCAGGGGUAUGCCUGGUUUCUGAAAUGUGGAUUCCUGAGGUAACUACUGAAAAGGAGUGUGAAGACUUUUACGCUCGAUGUCUUAGCACUGCUAACUGUGAUUGCUAUCACGCACAGGUUGGAACAUGCGGUAGAGGUCAAAUUUGCUGCAAGGCAACUGGAUCGUAUAAUCCAGCAGCGUGUGGCCAGGCAAAAAGAUCUGCCUCUCUUCAAGAAGCACAGGGAGUCGCAGCUAUUGAAGCACCUCUGUCCUAGCUGAGAAAGCCUCAAGAUCAUCAGGCUGAAGGAGGUAACUACAUUUGCUCUUACGCUCCGGCCCAUUGGCAUGCAGAAUAAAAUUGUACCUCUCUGCAACGAAAGUGUCUGUGUGUGCUUCUUCCCUUCCUGCUCAUUUGACUUAUUUCUCUUAUAAGUCCCGUUCCGUGCCCAAUAAGCAUGGGGCACCUUUGCCCGGCAGCGCUGCAGCCCGUAGAUUGCAGCAAAGUCUUU